CUUCAUAGAUAAGCUUGCAAGCAUUUUCUCUCUCUGCGAAACCAUGGAAGGAGUGUCUUCUGCAGCCAUUGAAGUUCUUGUCCAAAACCUGAUCAACCUUUUCAGGGAUGAGUACUCUCUAUUUCGAGGUUUCGAUGAGGAUGCCCAGCAGCUGCAAAGGACAUUGGGGAUGAUUCAAGCCUACUUGAAUGAUGCUGAGAAGAAAUCCAUCACCCAAGAUGCUGUCAAGAUCUGGUUGAGGGAGCUUGAAGCCGUGGCUUUCGAUGCUGACAAUGUCUUGGACGAACUCAGCUAUCAUCUUCUCCACAAAAAAGUGAAGAAAAUGAAGACACCCCAAGCCAAGGAUAAGGUACUAUCAUGCCUCUCACCAUUUAAUGGCAUUUUGCGUCGGCGUAAUAUGGCUCACACAAUCAAACAAAUCAAUGUUACUUUUGAGUGUAUGAACAAAAGGGCAACAGAUCUUGGCAUUCAAAGCAUGAUUGUGAAAGCACCUGCUGCUGUUGCUCAUACUUCCAUUGAGACGGAUUCGAUCAGUCUUGAUCCAAUCUUUAUUGGAAGAGAUGAUGAUGUGCCUAAACUAGUUAGCAUGCUCACCAAGAUCCAGGAUGAUCGGAUCUUCUCUAUGGUUGCUCUUGUCGGAAUGGGGGGUAUGGGGAAGACUACGUUGACUAAGAAAGUCUUCAAUCAUGAAAGGGUAAAAGCUCGAUUCGGAUCACAUAUUUGGGUUCAUGUUUCCCAAACUUUUGAUGCAAUUAGUCUUUUCAACAAAAUACUUUAUAAGGUGACUAAAAAGGCUAGUGAUGGAGUUAAGAACAGAGAUGAUAUUCUGGAAAAGCUUCAUGAAGCUCUCAAGGUUAGAGUUGAGAGCAAAGAUGAUAUCUUGGAAAAGCUUCAAGAAGCUCUCAAGGGUAAAACUUAUCUCCUUGUUCUUGAUGAUGUAUGGAAUGGUGAUGUUUCGAAAUGGGAAGACUUUAUAAACUCCGUACUGGGAGUUACUUCUACUAACGGAAAUGGCAUUAUCGUCACCACUAGGAGUGCAAAAGUUGCUUCCAUUGUUAACCCAUUUCAUAUUCAUCAUUUGAAUGGCUUAUCAGAUGAAGAUUGUUGGUCUAUAAUCAAAGCCAAAAAUUUUGAUAAAAAUGGUGAAGUUCCAUCAGGAUUCGAGAUGAUUGGAAGAAAGAUUGCAAAAAGAUGCAAAGGUUUGCCCCUAGCUGCCAAUGUAGUCGGGGGAGUGCUUCGCGGUAAGUCCGAAGAAGAGUGGCACUUCAUCAAUGAAAAUUGGCUUUCAGAUGGUGAAGGGGGUGAAAAUAUCUCAAAAAUAUUGAAAUUGAGCUAUGAUCACCUGUCCUCACCAUCGCUCAAGAAGUGCUUCACAUUUUGUUCGGUUUUCCCCAAAGGUUUGGAAAUCGAUAAGAAAGAGUUGAUUGAACUAUGGAUGGCAGAAGGGUUUCUUCAACCUACCCGAAGAGAUGACGUGGAGUCUGUGGGUAACAUGUUUUUUAAUGUGCUCCUACAAAACUCUUUGUUACAAGUUGCACUGAAAGAUAAUUAUGGAAAUGUUUGGAGGUGUGUGAUGCAUGAUCUUGUGCAUGAUCUUGCAUCUUAUCUUUUAUCCCAUAAUAAUGCAGAAGGCAGUAACCCUGUGCGAUACAUGUUUCUGAAAAAAGAAUCAAGUCCUAUUACAGAAGAAGUUGCCAAGCCUCUGCGUACAUUAUUCUUGGAAGGUGGAACUUCUGGUACUCCUAUAUUCUCAAACUUUGAAUGUCUGCAUAAUCUCACUCUUUCUGGUGACUAUAAAGAGUUGCCCAAUUCAAUUAGGGAGUUGGUACAUUUGAGAAAUCUGAAUAUUUAUGGUACACAAAUUGUAAACUUGCCGAAAUGGAUUGGUAAACUCCAUCACUUGCAAACAUUAACAGUAUGUUGGGAGUUAGAGAAUCUGCCAAGUACGAUGAAGUAUAUGUUUAAUUUAAGGCAUCUUUAUAUUGGUUCUAAUACAAAGUUGCCAGCGGAGAUUGGGAGAUUAACUAGUCUCCAAACACUACAUUACUUCACAGUAGGCAAAAAAAAGGGCUUCCAAAUUGAAGAGCUCGGAAGUUUGAAGAAUCUCAAAGGAAGGCUAAAGAUUCGUAAUCUGGAGGAGGUGCGUGAUAAGGAAGAGGCUCUGAAAGCAAAUAUAUUUCAGAAACCAAACUUAUUUGAUUUGGUGUUUGAAUGUAGUGAUGGUAGAGAAGAUGGAACAAAUGAUGAGAGUGUGUUGGAAGGCCUCCAACCUCAUGAAAAUCUGAAGAAGUUGAAGAUUACAGGAUUCAAAGGCAAAAGACUUCCAACAUGGGCUGAGAAGAUGGAAGUACGUGAUGGGCCUCAAGGAUCUUGGGUACCACUUGAUAACUUGAUUGCAAUAAAACUCUACAGGUGCUCAGAAAUUGAGGAAUUUCCAAAGCUGGAGCACUUGUCUAAUCUCAAGUCUCUUUGUUUGAAAGGAUUGACGAAGGUGAGGUAUAUAAAUACUUCAUUCAAUCAUUUAACGUCACUCCGAUUAGAAGAGUUAGAUAGAUUGAAAUGUGUGCCAGAAUGGUUAUUCUUUAAGAAUCAGGAUCUCAAAUAUUUGGAGAUAUCACGAUGUCCUUUGUUGAGGGAAUUACCAGAUGGCUUGGACACCCUCAAUUCUCUGGAGGGUUUGUGUAUUAUGGAUUGCGAGAAUCUGAAGUCGAUUGGGAAUCCAAGUGGUGGAGCACGACAAUCACAGGGGAUCUUCCGUUGGCUGAUCAUUGUAGACUGUGGAGAGCUGAUGGAAUUGCCGUGUGAAAUGCUAGAGUGGUGGGCCCCUACAAUUGAUUAUCUCUCAUUGGUAGGAUUAAGGAGGCUAAAGAAUCUACCAAUGCUAAUUGACUGCCUCGCUAAAUCAUCUCCUCAUCUACACCAAUUGACAAUCAAAGGUGUUCCUAAAUUGAUGGCUGCUAAUAGUGGUAGUGUUGAGAGUUGGGAUCUUAGCAGCUUGAAAACAUUAGAGAUAGAUGUGAGUGUGGAAUGGUCAAGAGAGGAUAGUGUUAGCAUUGCAGAGACUGUGGAAGGGAUGCUGCGAGGAUGUUGCAACUCACUUGAUCGCUUACAUUUGAAGGGGGUGGAAAAUUGGGAGUGGCUGCCCCAAUCCAUUCAAAAUCUCACUCUUCUUCGGAGCUUAGAGUUGGAGAAUAUAGGAUUAGAAGAAUUGCCCCAAUGGUUGGGGAACCUCUCAUCUCUUAUGGAGUUACAAUUAUAUAGUUGCAACAAGUUGAAGCGUCUUCCCUCUAUGGAUGCAUUAAGAGAUUUAAACAUUAGGGAUUGCCCUGAACUAUGUAUUGAUUCGGAUUGGCGCAGCCACCAUCCCCGUCUGGAAAUCAAGGUUCAUUACCAACCCGUUUGAAUGUUGUUGCAAGUUGAGAUUGAAGCUAAGAACAAAGUUCGGACAUAGUCAGAAAAGAAGAUCGAAGUUCGUAGGAUUUCUCCAAAAUUUUAAAAUUAUAUAUUGCUGAUUGCCCAUCCCAAUCUGGUAAUCAAGAACGAUUUGCAAGUGCACAAAGAAUGGCAGGGAUUUGCUAGGGGAUUUCUUGACAAUGGCAGGCAGGAAGGGAGUACAAGCUGUCCAACACAGUUUCCCUGAGCCCCUGCAGGUGCUGGAAGAAGGUGCCGGCUGGAAUUGCUCCUUUUAGCCCAAACACUUCCUCAUUUUUGAAAAGAGCUGCGGCUGCUACGGGGCUGCCCUCUCUCGUGGCUUCUCGGACUCGUCGCUGCUUUGCCGAGACGGUUCGGCGAUGGAGGUCGAUAUAGAUGCUAGGGACUCGAAUUGUAAUAGUGUAGCUCGGUUUAUAUAUUUUUUUGUGUCGACAAGGAUUGUGAAAUUGUUAGUUUGAGAUUAAAUGACAUUGGAAAAUUCAUUAGCUUUAAUUCUUUUCUGAAAUUUGUACUAUUUCUUUUAUUCAAGAAA